rnacentral:rRNA from 1 species
GACGAACCGUGCGAACGUUGUUCGGAAUCACUGGGCUUAAAGGGCGCGUAGGCGGUCAGCACAAGUCAGUUGUGAAAUCUCCGGGCUUAACUCGGAAAGGUCAACUGAUACUGUGCGACUAGAGUGCAGAAGGGGCAACUGGAAUUCUCGGUGUAGCGGUGAAAUGCGUAGAUAUCGAGAGGAACACCUGCGGCGAAGGCGGGUUGCUGGGCUGACACUGACGCUGAGGCGCGAAAGCCAGGGGAGCGAACGGG